CCCUUGACUCCCUCCUUCUCCGCCUUCCGCCUCUCUCUGAUUAGUUCCUAUCCAGCAGCAGAUUGAAGCAGGAGAUGAUUCUUCUCAAGAAUUCGGCUGAAGUCUAUAAACCAUCUAAAUUAAUAUGCCAGGAAUUUGUGGAUGUUUGGAACUCAAAAAGCAGGACGCAAGAUGGUCCCGGGAUAAAACUCUGCUGCCCAAACACAGGCAAGUUAAACUAGCUGUAGUGCUGAUGCACUGAAUUAAAGUUUAGAUAAAACACGUUAAAACAGCAAAUCGUUUUAAAGUUAGAAGUUAAACCUGUGAAAGAUAAUCCCAAUUGUAGUUUCUCCCUCCAAUUUCUGAAGUCAAAAGGAGUGGGGUUAGCUAAUCGCAGGAACUGAACACUUUUUAAAAAAAAUCAAGUUAAGCCCAUUUCUCCAUCUUUAAACUACACAGGAGGUAUGCUUUUUGUUUACUUCCAGAAUCUCCCAACUUUCUGUUAUUUACUCUUACAUUUCUCCCUCACCCCCGAAUCCCAACAUCCUAAAACCAAUAAAGUUAAAAUAAAGGUGAAGUACACCUUACUCCUUCCUGGGUACACCACCCCAUAACUUCCUAAAAAUGAUUUUUAAAAAAUUGUAACUUUGGUUAACGUUUUAUUACACAAGAAUAUAUAUACUUUUUUUUAUUGAGGUAGUGUUUUUUCCUCCAGAACACAUGGAAGUCUCCACGUUUAUAUAAUUAAAAAUUGCAUGAUUUAAUUUUCAGGAUGAAGAGCAAGUGAAAAGCAAGCCACAGAAGAAUAAUUUGACCAUAUAUGUAUAUUUUGUACAUACAUUUGUGAAUAAAUGUAUCUUAAAAGAU